UCAGCUCCAAACUGUCAUCAAGCCUGCAUGAAAUUUUGUGUUCCAUUUUGGAACAGUUUACUCUCAUGAGUGGGUUUGUGCUGCUGUUACUGCAGUCCCUUGUCCCGAUGGAAGACUUGGCUUCUUCAGUGAGCAUGCUCCAAUACUACACUACCAUUCAACCUAGUGUGAGCUGAAGCUGGGGAAUUUCGGGCUUUGUUUGAUGGUGUUGCUCCUCUUCCGAGGAAGAUACAUUUAGAGGAGACUCGAGAAGACAUGAAAGCUGCGGCCAAAUUGCAAUGGUAAUUGAUUAACAUUAAAUGUCCAAAGCGCAAUAUCAUCAGUAGUCAAUAAGAGUAAUUUGCUAUCAGCAUUAAUUCAUCCAUGACUAUGAGAUAUAUUAACUCUUGAAAAUGUCGAACUGGGUAGCAUUUUUUGUGACUUAUCAGUUUUGAAGGAUAGCUAGAGACUAUUGAUUUUAAAUCGUCGACACAUGAUUUGCUUUAUACAAACGAUGUUUGGGUGCAUUUCACUUUGAGAGUUGUUGCCAGUUUUUGAAUAUGAAUAUUCUCACUUGCUAGCACAUGUUAUAACAUGUCAAGUUGAUUCCUAUCAGUCAAAUAUAAUCUUGUGGAGAAGUAUGAUAAUAUUCUAGAGCAAUCUGGCUGCAUGAACUAAUACAUGUUCCUGCGAAAUGUUUACUUGUUUCUGUCUGGGAAAGAAAAAAUUAAUACAUUAUAUAUUCAGAUGAUUUUAGAAGAAGUACCACCUUGGUGAAAUAUCAUAUAACAUUCUCUAGAAACAUUUUCCUAAUCCUACAAUCAAAGCAUGCUAAUGGUUUAUAUUUUGUGUUGCUGCAUGCUUAGUAUCCUUUACUUUUGACCACAUAUUGCUCAAUGAUGGUACCCGAACAAAAUCACAUGUUAUGAAAAUGAUCGAGGGAUACGAAACUGUACCGUUCAAGUCAAAAUUUAAUGAGUGGCCACCAACUCCUGAUUUGAAAUUGUCGUCUGAGGAUGGAAGAGGCAAAGUUGCAGGUUGCUAUCUACAAAUUAUAAUGCUUGGUACUAUGGAUUGCUAGAAGGUUCAUAUCACAUAUAUUUACAUUUUCUAACACUGGCAUUUUUCAUCACAGUAUUAGGAUGAAAUGGAAUUUCCAUUCGCCAAAAAAGAAAA